rnacentral:rRNA from 1 species
UACGUAGGGGGCUAGCGUUGUCCGGAAUCAUUGGGCGUAAAGCGCGUGUAGGCGGCCCGAUAAGUCCGCUGUGAAAGUCCAGGGCUCAACCCUGGGAUGCCGGUGGAUACUGUCGGGCUCGAGUCCGGAAGAGGCGAGUGGAAUUCCUGGUGUAGCGGUGAAAUGCGCAGAUAUCAGGAGGAACACCUGUGGCGAAAGCGGCUCACUGGACCAUAACUGACGCUGAUGCACGAAAGCUAGGGGAGCAAACAGG